rnacentral:rRNA from 1 species
AUACGGAGGGUGCAAGCGUUACUCGGAAUCACUGGGCGUAAAGCGCGCGCAGGCGGUCUUUUAAGUUGGAUGUGAAAGCCUACGGCUCAACCGUAGAACUGCAUCCAAAACUAUUAGACUAGAGUGUGGGAGAGGAAGAUGGAAUUAGUUGUGUAGGGGUAAAAUCCGUAGAGAUAACUAGGAAUACCAAAAGCGAAGGCAAUCUUCUGGAACACUACUGACGCUGAGGCGCGAAAGCGUGGGGAGCAAACGGGAUUAGAGACCCCAGUAGUCC